AGAGUUUGAUCCUGGCUCAGGAUGAACGCUAGCGGCAGGCCUAAUACAUGCAAGUCGAACGGGAGGCCCCUCCGGGGGCCGAGAGUGGCGCACGGGUGCGUAACGCGUAUGCAACCAACCCCCGACAGUGGGAUAGCCGGUGGAAACGCCGGGUAACCCCCCAUAGCCCUGGUGGAGGGCAUCCUCCGCCAGGUAAAGCCGAGAGGCGGUCGGGGACGGGCAUGCGUCCCAUUAGCUGGUAGGCGGGGCGACGGCCCACCUAGGCGACGAUGGGUAGGGGAUCUGAGAGGACGGUCCCCCACACUGGUACUGAGACACGGACCAGACUCCUACGGGAGGCAGCAGUAAGGGAUAUUGGGCAAUGGGGGCUACCCUGACCCAGCCAUGCCGCGUGAGGGAAGACUGCCCUAUGGGUUGUAAACUUCUUUUGCAUGGGAAUAAAGUGAGCCACGUGUGGCUUUUUGUAUGUACCAUGCGAAUAAGCAUCGGCUAACUCCGUGCCAGCAGCCGCGGUAAUACGGAGGAUGCAAGCGUUAUCCGGAUUUAUUGGGUUUAAAGGGUGCGUAGGCGGCUUAGCAAGUCAGGGGUGAAAUACCGGGGCCUAACUCCGGAACUGCCUUUGAUACUGUGAGGCUUGAAUACUGUUGCCGUGGGAGGAAUGAGUAGUGUAGCGGUGAAAUGCAUAGAUAUUACACAGAACACCGAUUGCGAAGGCAUCUCACGAAGCAGGCAUUGACGCUGAGGCACGAAAGCGUGGGGAUCAAACAGGAUUGGAUACCCUGGUAGUCCACGCAGUAAACGAUGAUAACUAACCGUCGGCGAUACACAGUCGGUGGCCAAGCGAAAGCGAUAAGUUAUCCACCUGGGGAGUACGACCGCAAGGUUGAAACUCAAAGGAAUUGACGGGGGCCCGCACAAGCGGAGGAACAUGUGGUUUAAUUCGAUGAUACGCGAGGAACCUUACCCGGGCUCGAACGGCAAGUGAACGACACAGAGAUGUGAAGGCCCUUCGGGGCGCUUGUCGAGGUGCUGCAUGGUUGUCGUCAGCUCGCGCCGUGAGGUGUCGGCUCAAGUGCCAUAACGAGCGCAACCCUUGUCACUAGUUACCAACAGGCGAAGCUGGGGACUCUAGAGAGACUGCCACCGCAAGGUGAGAGGAAGGAGGGGAUGACGUCAAAUCAGCACGGCCCUUACGUCCGGGGCGACACACGUGUUACAAUGGUGACUACAGAGGGAAGCCACCCAGUGAUGGGGAGCGGAUCUCGAAAAGUCAUCUCAGUUCGGACUGGAGUCUGCAACCCGACUCCACGAAGCUGGAUUCGCUAGUAAUCGCGCAUCAGCCAUGGCGCGGUGAAUACGUUCCCGGGCCUUGCACACACCGCCCGUCAAG
rnacentral:rRNA from 1 species